GAUAGUUGCAAGUUCGACAU
rnacentral:siRNA from 1 species